GACUAUGCAGCUGACGUGUCAGUUAGCUACAAAACAUCUAAAAAUGACCCGCCAGGCGGUAAGUUUCCCCCAACGUCUUAUCCCACUGACCCCAAUGGAUUGCAACUUGUGCUAUUGUACCUCAAAGAAGCCUGCGGCGACAUUCCCAUUUAUAUCCAAGAGAAUGGCAAGUCGAUCUAGCUUCCAUUUACUACAUAAUCUCCAAAUUUUUGGUUCAGCUAUUCUUGGUUAAACCAUA